rnacentral:rRNA from 1 species
GGGCCCGCACAAGCGGUGGAGCAUGUUGGUUAAUUGGAUGAUACGCCAAGAACCUUACCAGGGUUUGACAUCAUUGGGACAGCUGGUGAAAGCCAGUCUCCGUAGCAAUACGGCCCUUUGACAGGUGGUGCAUGGUUGUCGUCAGCUCGUGUCGUGAGAUGUUGGGUUAAGUCCCGCAACGAGCGCAACCCUCGCCGGAUGUUGCCAUCGGUAACGCCGGGAACUCUUCCGGGACUGCCUGAGUAAUCAGGAGGAAGGAGGGGACGACGUCAAAUCGGCAUGCCCCUUACACCCUGGGCUGCAAACGUGCUACAAUGGCCGGUACAAAGGGUAGCCAAACCGCGAGGUGGAGCCAAUCCCCUAAAGCCGGUCUCAGUUCGGAUUGGGUGUCUGCAACUCGACCCCAUGAAGUCGGAAUCGCUAGUAACCGUGGAUCAGCAACGCCGCGGUGAAUACGUUCCCGGGCCUU